rnacentral:pre_miRNA from 1 species
UCAACUGUCCGUCCCGAGCGAGUCUGCACUCUGGAAUAACAUGUCGGAUUCGUAUACUCAUGACUAGAGGCAGACUCGUUUGGGAAGGAUGGUU